GUGCCCGUAGCUCAGUAGGAUAGAGCACCAGAUUCCUAAUCUGGGGGUCGCAUGUUCGAAUCAUGCCGGGUACGCCA
rnacentral:tRNA from 1 species